rnacentral:siRNA from 1 species
AAAGGCCCGCCACUCCUUACUCG